rnacentral:rRNA from 1 species
GGGGAACCAGGACUUUUACUGUGAAAAAAUUAGAGUGUUCAAAGCAGGCCUUUGCUCGGAUACAUUAGCAUGGAAUAAUAGAAUAGGACGUGCGGUUCUAUUUUGUUGGUUUCUAGGACCGCCGUAAUGAUUAAUAGGGAUAGUCGGGGGCGUCAGUAUUCAGCUGUCAGAGGUGAAAUUCUUGGAUUUGCUGAAGACUAACUACUGCGAAAGCAUUCGCCAAGGAUGUUUUCAUUAAUCAGGGAACGAAAGUUAGGGGAUCGAAGACGAUCAGAUACCGUCGUAGUCUUAACCAUAAACUAUGCCGACUAGGGAUCGGGCGGGGUUCUAUGAUGACCCGCUCGGCACCUUACGAGAAAUCAAAGUUUUUGGGUUCUGGGGGGAGUAUGGUCGCAAGGCUGAAACUUAAAGAAAUUGACGGAAGGGCACCACAAGGCGUGGAGCCUGCGGCUUAAUUUGACCCAGCACGGGGAAACUCACCAGGUCCAGACAAAAUAAGGAUUGACAGAUUGAGGGCUCUUUCUUGAUCUUUUGGAUGGUGGUGCAUGGCCGUUCUUAGUUGGUGGAGUGAUUUGUCUGCUUAAUUGCGAUAACGAACGAGACCU